CUGGUGCACGUGUGUGCGCGCCCCGAGAAGGCGCCCGGGCAGGCAAGUGGCAGUCCCCUAACCCGCGCCGCGGCCCGGACUCCCCUUCCCCGACGCCAUCACAGCCCUUCCCUCCCCCAGGUCACGCGGCUCCGCGCCCUGCCCCUGACCCAAGGGCAGCUGGUUCUGGUCUGGUCGGAUGAACACGUGGGCUCCAAGUGCGUGAGUGGGGCCGCCCCUCCCUCUGCCUGGUCCUAGGCAGGUCCCUGGGUCCCGACCCCUUCACCCAUGCGGUCACUCGGGCCACUUGCCGUGGC
rnacentral:sRNA from 1 species